GUGUCCUUCGAAGACUCUGGAUUUUUAUGGAAGCUUUGUUUUCCUGUUACAAAGCUCUUUGCAAAGUUUCAGAAUUUUUGAAGCAAAUUUGAGCGUUCAAACAAUUUUGAUUGUUUGAAUUCAAAAGGAAACAAUAAAGGAAAAAAGAAAAGGGAAAAGAAAGUAAAAAACCCUAACUUACCUUGUGGGCCAAAACCAGCCCAGCUCGGCCAGAAGCCCAGCUUCCUUCUCCCUGUCUUUUCUGUGUUCCACUGACGGGUGAACCCCACACGUCAGGCCAGUCAUCUUCAACCUCAAGCAGCUGCGUGUCGAGCACCCUGUGUGCGUCUUGUGUGAAGGCUGAAUAUCUGAAAUCUUUAGGCACCAUUUAGCCUUUGUCGUUUUCCUGAGUUGGAAUGGGAUGGAGUUCUAAUGAAUUUCAUCAUUGUGCUUUCUGUACUCAGCAGGGGAACCCAUCUAGUUGGGUAAUUGUGAGUGAUUAUUCAAGAUGAUGUAUCUCCUGUCUGUCCGAAAGAUGAUCUAGCUAGUUAUGACUGAUCUUUAUCUUUUGGAUAGUCACUCUUCAUAGCUUUUCCUUAAGGUCAUUGUUGAUCUUGGAAGUUCGUUCACCUCUAGUUGUUGGAAAGUGUUCGAGAAGCUAUUGGAACUCGUUUUCCUUUUAGCACGGUUUGUCAUUCCCCGAACUAGCGAUCAAUUUGUAAGAGUGAAGGUUUCUGUUUGACAUGCUUCGGAUCUGUGUUAUAUCUUUCGGUGCCAUGUGGGAAAGUGCCUCCCAUUCGCCGGAUCAUUCUAUAACAACAGUUUUUAAUCCAUCCCGAGCAAGUCACUUUUGUGGUGUUCUCCGCGUGAGAAAGUGUCGAACGUCGCUGAAUCGAUCAGGGACUGGAGAAAGAUGUUUCUUUCGACCAAUCAUGAUCGAUGAAGAGGAGAUGAAGAUUCGCAUCUUUCAAGAACGUCUCGAGAACAACUGAUUCUCACUAGGAAUGUUUUGUUAAGCUUUGACCUGGCGAGAUAAGCAUAUCUGCGGGUCAUCUUCCUCCCAAGAUGUACAUCUCUAUGGUAUCAAAGGCAUUGUGGUUUCUCGCUUCAACAAUCUAUUUCGCAAUCUAUUUGAAGCGUGGAUCAUCUGUCUACCUUUUGGAACUCCGUAUAUCAUCUGUAUUCAACCUCGGUGUUGUGUUUUCUAUAUCUCAGCUCAAGACAUGUUUCUGUCCUCCGUUCGAAGAAUUGAUCAUUAGAUGCUUGAUCUUCACGAAGAUCUACUCUUGUGUGAGUCUCUGGUCCGUGUCUUCAAUGAAGUCAACGGACAACUUGGAGGACUAACACCAAACCUUUGAAGAUCUAAUGGUCUAACACCUUCAAGGAAGAGUCAACGUGGGAUCGUGAAGAUCUUCUUCUAUGGCGUAUCCCUGUUCCCUUUUCUCUUGACCUUAACAAAUCUCGGGGUCGAAAUUUUCGUAAGGGGGGUAGAUUUGUAACAUCUCCAAUUUAACCACCAGUUAACAGGAGUUGUAUUGUGCAUCAUGAGCAUGGCAUCGCAUCAUGCUGAAACCUGAAAAUGAGGGGUAUUUAAAACCUCGGUUUAAAACGCUUGAAAUCAACUCCACACUUGCAACUCAAGAUGAGUGUCCUUCAAAGACUCUGGAUUUUUAUGGAAGCUUUUUUUUCCUGUUACAAAGCUCUCUGCAAAGUUUCAGAAUUUUUGAAGCAAAUUUGAGCAAAAUUGUUUGAAUUCAAAAGGAAACUGUAAAGGAAAACGAGAUGGGAAAAGAAAGGAAAAACCCUAACUUACCUUGUGGGCCAAAACCAGCCCAGCUCGGCCAGAAGCCCAGCUUCCUUCUCCCUGUCUUUUCUGUGUUCCACUGACGGGUGAACCCCACACGUCAGGCCAGUCAUCUUCAACCUCAAGCAGCUGC
rnacentral:lncRNA from 1 species